CACGUAGGGUGCAAGCGUUGUCCGGAAUCAUUGGGCGUAAAGAGCUCGUAGGCGGCUUAGUAAGUCGGGUGUGAAACCCCCAGGCUCAACCUGGGGACGCCACCCGAUACUGCUAUAGCUAGAGUCCAGUAGGGGAGUGCGGAAUUCCCGGUGUAGCGGUGAAAUGCGCAGAUAUCGGGAGGAACACCAGCGGCGAAGGCGGCACUCUGGGCUGGUACUGACGCUCAGGAGCGAAAGCGUGGGGAGCGAACAGG
rnacentral:rRNA from 1 species